UCUGCAGCAGGUAUGACAGUUAGUACCAGGAGAGAGCCUUUGAUUCUGCAGCAGGUAUGACAGUACCAGGAGAGAGCCUUUGAUUCUGCAGCAGGUAUGACAGUUAGUACCAGGAGAGAUCCUUUGAUUCUGCAGCAGGUAUGACAGUACCAGGAGAGAGCCUUUGAUUCUGCAGCAGGUAUGACAGUUAGUACCAGGAGAGAGCCUUUGAUUCUGCAGCAGGUAUGACAGUUAGUACCAGGAGAGAUCCUUUGAUUCUGCAGCAGGUAUGACAGUUAGUACCAGGAGAGAGCCUUUGAUUCUGCAGUAGGUAUGACAGUUAGUACCAGGAGAGAGCCUUUGAUUCUGCAGCAGGUAUGACAGUGAGUACCAGGAGAGAGCCUUUGAUUCUGCAGCAGGUAUGACAGUUAGUACCAGGAGAGAGCCUUUGAUUCUGCAGCAGGUAUGACAGUUAGUACCAGGAGAGAGCCUUUGAUUCUGCAGUAGGUAUGACAGUGAGUACCAGGAGAGAGCCUUUGAUUCUGCAGUAGGUAUGACAGUGAGUACCAGGAGAGAGCCUUUGAUUCUGCAGCAGGUAUGACAGUUAGUACCAGGAGAGAGCCUUUGAUUCUGCAGUAGGUAUGACAGUGAGUACCAGGAGAGAGCCUUUGAUUCUGCAGCAGGUAUGACAGUUAGUACCAGGAGAGAGCCUUUGAUUCUGCAGUAGGUAUGACAGUGAGUACCAGGAGAGAGCCUUUGAUUCUGCAGUAGGUAUGACAGUACCAGGAGAGAGCCUUUGAUUCUGCAGCAGGUAUGACAGUUAGUACCAGGAGAGAGCCUUUGAUUCUGCAGUAGGUAUGACAGUACCAGGAGAGAGCCUUUGAUUCUGCAGUAGGUAUGACAGUACCAGGAGAGAGCCUUUGAUUCUGCAGCAGGUAUGACAGUUAGUACCAGGAGAGAGCCUUUGAUUCUGCAGCAGGUAUGACAGUUAGUACCAGGAGAGAGCCUUUGAUUCUGCAGCAGGUAUGACAGUUAGUACCAGGAGAGAGCCUUUGAUUCUGCAGCAGGUAUGACAGUUAGUACCAGGAGAGAGCCUUUGAUUCUGCAGCAGGUAUGACAGUUAGUACCAGGAGAGAGCCUUUGAUUCUGCAGCAGGUAUGACAGUUAGUACCAGGAGAGAGCCUUUGAUUCUGCAGCAGGUAUGACAGUUAGUACCAGGAGAGAGCCUUUGAUUCUGCAGCAGGUAUGACAGUGAGUACCAGGAGAGAGCCUUUGUUUCAGAAGCAGGUAUAACAUUGUAGCAUACCCACAUGAGAUAACAUUUACUAACAUUAACAGUGUAGGGGUUAGUUUGACCCACUGUUGCUUCUAGCUAAGAUGAUCUACUUCCUGAAGGCUUUGAUCAAUUAGUAAAUAGCUACUAUUACGGCGCCGUUGGAGCUAGAAACACAAGCAUUUCGCUGCACCUGCGAUAACAUUUGCAAAUCUGUGUAUUCGACCAAUAAACUUUGAUUUGAUUUGAAAUCGUGUGAUACUGCUUUCAGCCUUACCAAUGUAUACUGCAAAGUCCCUUGGUGGGAUGAAUAAAGUACUACUAACUACAACUACUACCAUUA